rnacentral:rRNA from 1 species
CCUACGGGCGGCUGCAGUGGGGAAUAUUGGACAAUGGGGGGAACCCUGAUCCAGCCAUGCCGCGUGUGUGAAGAAGGCCCUCGGGUUGUAAAGCACUUUCAGUGAGGAAGAACGCCUGGUGGUUAAUACCCAUCAGGAAAGACAUCACUCACAGAAGAAGCACCGGCUAACUCCGUGCCAGCAGCCGCGGUAAUACGGAGGGUGCGAGCGUUAAUCGGAAUUACUGGGCGUAAAGCGCGCGUAGGUGGCUUGAUAAGCCGGUUGUGAAAGCCCCGGGCUCAACCUGGGAAUGGCAUCCGGAACUGUCAAGCUAGAGUGCAGGAGAGGAAGGUAGAAUUCCCGGUGUAGCGGUGAAAUGCGUAGAGAUCGGGAGGAAUACCAGUGGCGAAGGCGGCCUUCUGGACUGACACUGACACUGAGGUGCGAAAGCGUGGGUAGCAAACAGGAUUAGAUACCCUUGUAGUC